rnacentral:rRNA from 1 species
ACAGUGGACGCGAGCAUCUGUGGCCAAGUUUUUAAGGGCGCACGGUGGAUGCCUUGGCACCAGGAACCGAUGAAGGACGUGGGAGGCCGCGAUAGGCCCCGGGGAGCUGUCAACCGAGCUUUGAUCCGGGGGUGUCCGAAUGGGGAAACCCGGCAGUCGUCAUGGGCUGUCACCCGUACCUGAACUCAUAGGGUAUGUGGAGGGAACGCGGGGAAGUGAAACAUCUCAGUACCCGCAGGAAGAGAAAACAACCGUGAUUCCGGGAGUAGUGGUGAGCGAAACCGGAUGAGGCCAAACCAGUCACGUGUGAUACCCGGCAGGGGUUGCGUGGUUGGGGUUGUGGGAGUUCUCUUGAUCGGUCUGCCGGCCGGUCGGUGAGUCAGAAACCGUUGAUGUAGGCGAAGGACAUGCGAAAGGUCCGGCGUAGAGGGUAAGACCCCCGUAGCUGAAACAUUAGCGGCUCGCUUGAGAACCACCCAAGUAGCACGGGGCCCGUGAAAUCCCGUGUGAAUCUGGCGGGACCACCCGUUAAGCCUAAAUAUUCCCUGGUGACCGAUAGCGGAUAGUACCGUGAGGGAAUGGUGAAAAGUACCGCGGGAGCGGAGUGAAAUAGUACCUGAAACCGUGUGCCUACAAGCCGUGGGAGCGUCGCNNNNNGUCGUGACUGCGUGCCUUUUGAAGAAUGAGCCUGCGAGUUUGCGGUAUGUUGCGAGGUUAACCCGUGUGGGGAAGCCGUAGCGAAAGCGAGUCCGAAGAGGGCGAUAUAGUAGCGUGCCCAAGACCCGAAGCGGAGUGAUCUAGCCAUGGGCAGGUUGAAGCGGAGGUAAGACUUCGUGGAGGACCGAACCCACCAGGGUUGAAAACCUGGGGGAUGACCUGUGGUUAGGGGUGAAAGGCCAAUCAAACUCCGUGAUAGCUGGUUCUCCCCGAAAUGCAUUUAGGUGCAGCGUCGUGUGUUUCUUGCCGGAGGUAGAGCACUGGAUAGGCGAUGGGCCCUACCGGGUUACUGACCUUAGCCAAACUCCGAAUGCCGGUAAGUGAGAGCGCGGCAGUGAGACUGUGGGGGAUAAGCUCCAUGGUCGAGAGGGAAACAGCCCAGAGCAUCGACUAAGGCCCCUAAGCGUGUGCUAAGUGGGAAAGGAUGUGGAGUCGCAGAGACAACCAGGAGGUUGGCUUAGAAGCAGCCAUCCUUGAAAGAGUGCGUAAUAGCUCACUGGUCAAGUGAUUCCGCGCCGACAAUGUAGCGGGGCUCAAGCACACCGCCGAAGUCAUGUCAUUGCAGUAUGUACUCCUAACGGGGACUGUGAUGGGUAGGGGAGCGUCGUGUGCCGGGUGAAGCAGCGCCGGAAGGUAGUUGUGGACGGUUCACGAGUGAGAAUGCAGGCAUGAGUAGCGAUACACACGUGGGAAACGUGUGCGCCGAUUGACUAAGGGUUCCUGGGUCAAGCUGAUCUGCCCAGGGUAAGUCGGGACCUAAGGCGAGGCCGACAGGCGUAGUCGAUGGACAACCGGUUGAUAUUCCGGUACCCGCUUUGAAGCGCCAAACAUCGAAUCCUCUGAUGCUAAGGCCGUGAAGCCGCCCUGGAGUCUUCGGACAAAGGGGAGUGGUGGAGCCGCUGAUCCAAGGUGGUAGUAGGUGAGUGAUGGGGUGACGCAGGAAGGUAGUCCAGCCCGGGCGGUGGUUGUCCCGGGGUAAGGGUGUAGGACGCACGGUAGGCAAAUCCGUCGUGCAUGAAGUCUGAGACCUGAUGCCGAGCCGAUUGUGGUGAAGUGGAUGAUCCUAUGCUGUCGAGAAAAGCCUCUAGCGAGUUUCAUGGCGGCCCGUACCCUAAACCGACUCAGGUGGUCAGGUAGAGAAUACCGAGGCGUUCGGGUGAACUAUGGUUAAGGAACUCGGCAAAAUGCCCCCGUAACUUCGGGAGAAGGGGGGCCACGGCUGGUGAU